rnacentral:rRNA from 1 species
AGCGGCGGACGGGUGAGUAACACGUAGGUAACCUACCUAUAAGACUGGGAUAACUUCGGGAAACCGGAGCUAAUACCGGAUAAUAUUUCGAACCGCAUGGUUCGAUAGUGAAAGAUGGCUUUGCUAUCACUUAUAGAUGGACCUGCGCCGUAUUAGCUAGUUGGUAAGGUAACGGCUUACCAAGGCAACGAUACGUAGCCGACCUGAGAGGGUGAUCGGCCACACUGGAACUGAGACACGGUCCAGACUCC